rnacentral:lncRNA from 1 species
UGAAAUCUUAGUGCAAGUUUCAGCUCUAAAAGAAGAGUGGGCUCCUGCAAGAUUAGCAUGAAGCUGGCAUUCCUCUUCCUUGGCCCCAUGGCCCUCCUCCUUCUGGCUGGCUAUGGCUGUGUCCUCGGUGCCUCCAGUGGGAACCUGCGCACCUUUGUGGGCUGUGCCGUGAGGGAGUUUACUUUCCUGGCCAAGAAGCCAGGCUGCAGGGGCCUUCGGAUCACCACGGAUGCCUGCUGGGGUCGCUGUGAGACCUGGGAGAAACCCAUUCUGGAACCCCCCUAUAUUGAAGCCCAUCAUCGAGUCUGUACCUACAACGAGACCAAACAGGUGACUGUCAAGCUGCCCAACUGUGCCCCGGGAGUCGACCCCUUCUACACCUAUCCCGUGGCCAUCCGCUGUGACUGCGGAGCCUGCUCCACUGCCACCACGGAGUGUGAGACCAUCUGAGGCCGCUAGCUGCUCUCUGCAGACCCACCUGUGUGAGCAGCACAUGCAGUUAUACUUCCUGGAUGCAAGACUGUUUAAUUUCGACCACACCCA